UACGUAGGGGGCAAGCGUUAUCCGGAUUUACUGGGUGUAAAGGGAGCGUAGACGGCGCGGCAAGUCUGAAGUGAAAGGCAGGGGCUUAACCCCUGAACUGCUUUGGAAACUGCCAUGCUAGAGUGCUGGAGAGGUAAGUGGAAUUCCUAGUGUAGCGGUGAAAUGCGUAGAUAUUAGGAGGAACACCAGUGGCGAAGGCGGCUCACUGGACAGUAACUGACGUUGAGGCUCGAAAGCGUGGGGAGCAAACAGG
rnacentral:rRNA from 1 species